rnacentral:rRNA from 1 species
GAUGAACGCUGGCGGCGUGCCUAAUACAUGCAAGUCGAGCGAACAGACGAGGAGCUUGCUCCUCUGACGUUAGCGGCGGACGGGUGAGUAACACGUGGAUAACCUACCUAUAAGACUGGGAUAACUUCGGGAAACCGGAGCUAAUACCGGAUAAUAUAUUGAACCGCAUGGUUCAAUAGUGAAAGACGGUUUUGCUGUCACUUAUAGAUGGAUCCGCGCCGCAUUAGCUAGUUGGUAAGGUAACGGCUUACCAAGGCGACGAUGCGUAGCCGACCUGAGAGGGUGAUCGGCCACACUGGAACUGGGACACGGCCCAGACUCCUAGGGGAGGCAGCAGUAGGGAAUCUUCCGCAAUGGGCGAAAGCCUGACGGAGCAACGCCGCGGGAGUGAUGAAGGUCUUCGGAUCGUAAAACUCUGUUAUUAGGGAAGAACAAAUGUGUAAGUAACUAUGCACGUCUUGACGGUACCAAAUCAGAAAGCCACGGCUAACUACGU